GUGGGGACAGAGGAGGAAAGGACAGACAGACGGACAGACGGGGGCUGGACAGAGGGCACUAGGUUCCUUGAGGCGGCUGGAAGUCCUGGAAGUCACUUUCCACCUUGACAGCCUCUUCCCAAAGGCAAUGUGCAUCCAGGCCCCCAGGGGCAGAGGACCAAAGGCUGCUACCCAUCACUGCUUUUGCCUCCGGGCAGAGACCGGCUUCUAACAGACCACCAUGCCAAGCUGUCUCACGCUGCCCGAACUGUGCAACUUCCUUCUCCCCUGGCUGCUCACCGUCUCCCACAGAGCGCUGGGGGACCCAGGUAAGACCCAGGCCGGCCCGGACGCUGGGACCCGGGGCUGAGGCUCCAGCGGGCGGUGUGGAGAGCAGGCA